AUACGUAGGUGGCAAGCGUUGUCCGGAAUUACUGGGUGUAAAGGGUGCGCAGGCGGGACUGCAAGUUGGAUGUGAAAUACCGAGGCUUAACCUCGGAGCUGCAUCCAAAACUGUGGUUCUUGAGUGGGGUAGAGGUAAGCGGAAUUCCGAGUGUAGCGGUGAAAUGCGUAGAUAUUCGGAGGAACACCAGUGGCGAAGGCGGCUUACUGGGCUCUAACUGACGCUGAGGCACGAAAGCAUGGGUAGC
rnacentral:rRNA from 1 species